rnacentral:rRNA from 1 species
GGGGCAAGCGUUGCUCGGAAUUACUGGGCGUAAAGGGCGCGUAGGCGGGAUGGCAAGUCGGUCGUGAAAUCCUUCGGCUCAACCGAAGAACGUCGAUCGAUACUGCUGUUCUUGAGGGUUGCAGAGGAGACUGGAAUUCCCGGUGUAGCGGUGAAAUGGGUAGAGAUCGGGAGGAACACCGGUGGCGAAGGCGGGUCUCUGGGCAAUUCCUGACGCUGAGGCGCGAAAGCGUGGGGAGCAAACGGG